rnacentral:tRNA from 1 species
AAAGCUUUAAGUUAAAUAAAACUAUUAACCUUCAAAGUUAAAUUUAUAUAUUAUAUAAGCUUUA